GGGUUGUGAGGUUAAGCGACUAAGCGUACACGGUGGAUGCCCUGGCAGUCAGAGGCGAUGAAGGACGUGCUAAUCUGCGAUAAGCGCCGGUAAGGUGAUAUGAACCGUUAUAACCGGCGAUUUCCGAAUGGGGAAACCCAGUGUGACUCGUCACACUAUCAUUAACUGAAUCCAUAGGUUAAUGAGGCGAACCGGGGGAACUGAAACAUCUAAGUACCCCGAGGAAAAGAAAUCAACCGAGAUUCCCCCAGUAGCGGCGAGCGAACGGGGAGGAGCCCAGAGCCUGAAUCAGCAUGUGUGUUAGUGGAAGCGUCUGGAAAGGCGAGCGAUACAGGGUGACAGCCCCGUACACAAAAGCGCAUGUGCUGUGAGCUCGAUGAGUAGGGCGGGACACGUGGUAUCCUGUCUGAAUAUGGGGGGACCAUCCUCCAAGGCUAAAUACUCCUGACUGACCGAUAGUGAACCAGUACCGUGAGGGAAAGGCGAAAAGAACCCCGGCGAGGGGAGUGAAAAAGAACCUGAAACCGUGUACGUACAAGCAGUGGGAGCACCCUUUGGGGUGUGACUGCGUACCUUUUGUAUAAUGGGUCAGCGACUUAUAUUCUGUAGCAAGGUUAACCGUAUAGGGGAGCCGGAGGGAAACCGAGUCUUAACCGGGCGUUAAGUUGCAGGGUAUAGACCCGAAACCCGGUGAUCUAGCCAUGGGCAGGUUGAAGG
rnacentral:rRNA from 1 species